AUAUUGGACAAUGGGCGAAAGCCGGACGCACCCAUGCCGCGUGAAUGAUGAAGGUCUUNGGAUUGNANAAUUCUUUCACCGGGGANAAUAUUGACGGUACCCGGAGAAGAAACCCCGGCUAACUUCGUGCAAGCAGCCGCGGUAAUACGAAGGGGGCUAGCGUUGCUCGGAAUUACUGGGCGUAAAGGGCGCGUAGGCGGAUCGUUAAGUCAGGGGUGAAAUCCCGGGGCUCAACCUCGGAAUUGCCCUUGAUACUGGCGAUCUUGAGUAUGAGAGAGGUAUGUGGAACUCCGAGUGUAGAGGUGAAAUUCGUAGAUAUUCGGAAGAACACCAGUGGCGAAGGCGACAUACUGGCUCAUUACUGACGCUGAGGCGCGAAAGCGUGGGGAGCAAACA
rnacentral:rRNA from 1 species